rnacentral:rRNA from 1 species
UACGGGGGGGGGCAAGCGUUGUUCGGAAUUACUGGGCGUAAAGGGCUUGUAGGCGGCCAACUAAGUCCGACGUGAAAUCCCCAGGCUUAACCUGGGAACUGCGUCGGAUACUGGAUGGCUUGAAUUCGGGAGAGGGAUGCAGAAUUCCAGGUGUAGCGGUGAAAUGCGUAGAUAUCUGGAGGAAUACCGGUGGCGAAGGCGGCAUCCUGGACCGACAUUGACGCUGAGGCGCGAAAGCUAGGGUAGCAAAACGGG